rnacentral:rRNA from 1 species
AGUGAACGCUGGCGGUAGGCCUAACACAUGCAAGUCGAACGGCGGCACAGUAAGAGCUUGCUCUUACGGGUGGCGAGUGGCGGACGGGUGAGGAAUACAUCGGAAUCUACUUUUUCGUGGGGGAUAACGUAGGGAAACUUACGCUAAUACCGCAUACGACCUACGGGUGAAAGCAGGGGAUCUUCGGACCUUGCGCGAUUGAAUGAGCCGAUGUCGGAUUAGCUAGUUGGCGGGGUAAAGGCCCACCAAGGCGACGAUCCGUAGCUGGUCUGAGAGGAUGAUCAGCCACACUGGAAAUGAGACACGGUCCAGACUCCUACGGGAGGCAGCAGUGGGGAAUAUUGGACAAUGGGCGCAAGCCUGAUCCAGCCAUACCGCGUGGGUGAAGAAGGCCUUCGGGUUGUAAAGCCCUUUUGUUGGGAAAGAAAAGCAGCAGGUUAAUACCCCGCUGUUCUGACGGUACCCAAAGAAUAAGCACCGGCUAACUUCGUG